rnacentral:rRNA from 1 species
AAUGAACGCUGGCGGCAGGCCUAAUACAUGCAAGUCGAGCGGAGCGGCGGACGGGUGAGUAAUGCAUACGUAUCUGCCCGGCCGAGGGGGAUGAGGUCCGGACACGGAACCUAAUAUCGUAUAUUUUCAGAUGAGCUUAGGCCGGAUUAGCUAGUUGGUGGGGUAAAGGCACACCUAGGCGACGAUCCGUAACUGGUCUGAGAGGAUGAUCAGUCACACUGGAACUGAGACACGGUCCAGACUCCUACGGGAGGCAGCAGUGGGGAAUAUUGGACAAUGGGCGAAAGCCUGAUCCAGCCAUGCCGCGUGUGUGAAGAAGGUCUUCGGAUUGUAAAGCACUUUAAGUUGGGAGGCGUUACCAGCAGAAUAAGCACCGGCUAACUUCGUGCCAGCAGCCGCGGUAAUAC